rnacentral:rRNA from 1 species
AAGCGCGCGUAGGUGGUUUGUUAAGUUGGAUGUGAAAGCCCCGGGCCUCAACCUGGGAACUGCAUCCAAAACUGGCAAGCUAGAGUAUGGUAGAGGGUGGUGGAAUUUCCUGUGUAGCGGUGAAAUGCGUAGAUAUAGGAAGGAACACCAGUGGCGAAGGCGACCACCUGGACUGAUACUGACACUGAGGUGCGAAAGCGUGGGGAGCAAACAGGAUUAGAUACCCGUGU